rnacentral:rRNA from 1 species
GACGAACGCUGGCGGCGUGCCUAAUACAUGCAAGUCGAGCGGAUCUUGUCCUUCGGGACAAGGUUAGCGGCGGACGGGUGAGUAACACGUAGGUAACCUGCCUGUAAGACUGGGAUAACAUUCGGAAACGAAUGCUAAUACCGGAUACGCGAGAAGAUCGCAUGAUCUUCUCGGGAAAGAUGGAGCAAUCUAUCACUUACAGAUGGACCUGCGGCGCAUUAGCUAGUUGGUGAGGUAACGGCUCACCAAGGCGACGAUGCGUAGCCGACCUGAGAGGGUGAUCGGCCACACUGGGACUGAGACACGGCCCAGACUCCUACGGGAGGCAGCAGUAGGGAAUCUUCCGCAAUGGACGAAAGUCUGACGGAGCAACGCCGCGUGAGUGAUGAAGGUUUUCGGAUCGUAAAGCUCUGUUGCCAGGGAAGAAUGCUUGGGAGAGUAACUGCUCUCAAGGUGACGGUACCUGAGAAGAAAGCCCCGGCUAACUACGUGCCAGCCGCCGCCGUAACAC